UGGGGAAUAUUGCACAAUGGACGGAAGUCUGAUGCAGCAACGCCGCGUGCGGGAUGACGGCCUUCGGGUUGUAAACCGCUUUUUCUCAUGACGAAGUUUUUUGACGGUAGUGGGGGAAGAAGCACCGGCUAACUACGUGCCAGCAGCCGCGGUGAUACGUAGGGUGCGAGCGUUGUCCGGAAUUAUUGGGCGUAAAGAGCUUGUAGGCGGUUUGUCGCGUCGAUAGUGCAAACUCAGUGCUUAACGCUGAGCCUGCUGUUGGUACGGGCAGACUAGAGGAAGGUAGGGGAGAAUGGAAUUCCCGGUGGAGCGGUGGAAUGCGCAGAUAUCGGGAGGAACACCGGUGGCGAAGGCGGUUCUCUGGGCCUUUCCUGACGCUGAGAAGCGAAAGCGUGGGGAGCGAACAGG
rnacentral:rRNA from 1 species